GGGGAUGUAGCUCAGCGGUAGAGCGCUUGCUUUGCAUGUAAGAGGCACUGGGUUCAACCCCCAGCAUCUCCA
rnacentral:tRNA from 1 species